CCUACACAUGCAAGUCGAGCGGAUGAAGGGAGCUUGCUCUCUGAUUCAGCGGCGGACGGGAGAGUAAUGCCUAGGAAUCUGCCUGGUAGUGGGGGACAACGUUCCGAAAGGAGCGCUAAUACCGCAUACGUCCUACGGGAGAAAGUGGGGGAUCUUCGGACCUCACGCUAUCAGAUGAGCCUAGGUCGGAUUAGCUAGUAGGUGGGGUAAUGGCUCACCUAGGCGACGAUCCGUAACUGGUCUGAGAGGAUGAUCAGUCACACUGGAACUGAGACACGGUCCAGACUCCUACGGGAGGCAGCAGUGGGGAAUAUUGGACAAUGGGCGAAAGCCUGAUCCAGCCAUGCCGCGUGUGUGAAGAAGGUCUUCGGAUUGUAAAGCACUUUAAGUUGGGAGGAAGGGCAGUAAGUUAAUACCUUGCUGUUUUGACGUUACCAACAGAAUAAGCACCGGCUAACUUCGUGCCAGCAGCCGCGGUAAUACGAAGGGUGCAAGCGUUAAUCGGAGUUACUGGGCGUAAAGCGCGCGUAGGUGGUUUGGUAAGAUGGAUGUGAAAUCCCCGGGCUCAACCUGGGAACUGCAUCCAUAACUGCCUGACUAGAGUACGGUAGAGGGUGGUGGAAUUUCCUGUGUAGCGGUGAAAUGCGUAGAUAUAGGAAGGAACACCAGUGGCGAAGGCGACCACCUGGACUGAUACUGACACUGAGGUGCGAAAGCGUGGG
rnacentral:rRNA from 1 species